rnacentral:rRNA from 1 species
UACGGGAGGCAGCAGUGGGGAAUAUUGCACAAUGGGCGCAAGCCUGAUGCAACCAUGCCGCGUGUAUGAAGAAGGCCUUCGGGUUGUAAAGUACUUUCAGUCGUGAGGAAGGUGUUAAGGUUAAUAACCUUAGCAAUUGACGUUAGCGACAGAAGAAGCACCGGCUAACUCCGUGCCAGCAGCCGCGGUAAUACGGAGGGUGCGAGCGUUAAUCGGAAUUACUGGGCGUAAAGGGCACGCAGGCGGUUAAUUAAGUUGGAUGUGAAAUCCCCGGGCUUAACCUGGGAAUGGCAUUCAAGACUGGUUAGCUAGAGUCUUGUAGAGGGGGUAGAAUUCCAUGUGUAGCGGUGAAAUGCGUAGAGAUGUGGAGGAAUACCGGUGGCGAAGGCGGCCCCUGGACAAAGACUGACGCUCAUGUGCGAAAGCGUGGGGAGCGAAACAGGGAUUAGAUACC